rnacentral:rRNA from 1 species
AGAGUUUGAUCAUGGCUCAGGACGAACGCUGGCGGCGUGCCUAAUACAUGCAAGUCGAGCGGAUUGGUUCGAAAGCUUGCUUUCGAACUAAUUAGCGGCGGACGGGUGAGUAACACGUAGGCAACCUGCCUGCAGGACCGGGAUAACAUUCGGAAACGAAUGCUAAUACCGGAUACACGAUUUCCUCGCAUGGGGAGAUC